GCUUAGGGCUUAUAACAGUCAAAUUCCGCUCGGAAACAGCAAAAGGGAAUAUACGCCAUAGCCAAGAGGCCAGACAUUGAAGGAACCAUGUUUGCGACAGCGAUAAGGUACAUUGGGAGGAAACCAAAGCCCAAAAUGAAAUCCAUUGAGCUUAAAACUCCACCUGAGCAGACACAAACUAUUACCAGGGUUAUUUUCGACAUUUUGAAAGAACAUGGCCCUCUCACCAUUGCUGACACCUGGGAACGUGUCAAGGAUGUUGGGUUGAGAGGCUUGACAAGCAAAAGGCACAUGAAGAUAGUAUUAAGAUGGAUGAGGGAAAGACAGAAGCUUAAGCUUAUAUGCAAUCAUGUUGGGCCCCAGAAACAAUUUCUGUAUACUACCUGGUUCACAAAACCAAAUACAAUGCAGACAAAGCCAGGAACCCAUACUUCCUGGCCAAAUACGAAGCAGAUAAUGCCUGGAAGUGAUAUUUCCCGGCCAAAGUCAUCAUAAACCUUAUAGCGUGGUGUCUGAUUAUUGAACCAAAGAUUUUUUGGAGCUUUCACCAUGCUCUGAAGCUUUACAGGGCAACUACGAUGGCUUUCACAACCUUUUAACUCUGGAUAUCAAGGCCUUAGCUUUUGGUUUGCCGUUGUUUGAACAGCUUUUAGCAAAGAGCGAUUCAUGGUUCAUUAGGCUCCAUUCUGUCUAGAUAUUGUUACAAAGCCUUUUACCUGAUUCUUGCAAGUUGUAACAUCGAACCAAGGUCCCUCAAUACUUUAACGAGGCUCAAAAGAUUUUACGAAUGCAACUGUGAGCAUAUUCAGGUACUCUGUUUGGAUAGCUGAUGGACUACUUGAUAAUGGAAUCUUGAUACAAGUCCUAAGUUCUUUCGUGUUUCUGGCUUAAACUAUUGUUAAGUAGAGCGCCGGAGUAUGGAAGUUGCCACCAUGUUAAAACUAGUGUGGAGAAUCUGUGCUUAGUUUUGGUUGAGUAUUCCAAAUGAGAGGAUGAAAGUGCUUAGUUUGGUUUGAAAAAUCUGUGCAAAUAUUGUGAUUACAUUUUCUUGGUUUACUUACAUAAGAUAGAUUAGUUAGUGUGUACAGAUUUGACCUUUAUAUACUACUUAUCUGUGACAAUGGAUUGAACUUAGUAUAGAUAUAUAUUUCAAAAGACUUUCAUCUAUACUUUAUAUUUCUAGAGCUAAAAAUAAAUGCAGUAAGUAUAGCUGCCAACUUCAAUAUACAUCCUGUCUGUACUGGUAAACGAAUUUUGAAGGUUUCCAAAAUUUGUGCUAGUAAACUGUUUUCCAGUCUGAACUCUGAACCAUCUGCAUGCUUCUUGUAUGAACAUUCUUGUAGGGAUUUUUUCAUUCCUAUACACUAUUUGAAACCUUAUUACGAAAAAUGU